rnacentral:tRNA from 1 species
AAUUAAUGAACUUGUAUAAGUAUAUAUUUUGAAAAUAUAAAAAAGAGUAUUAAUCUCUAUUAAUUU